UUGAAUCAAACUUACACACACAUCAUAAUAAUGAUGAAUAACAUGAAGGGUUACUUUCACUCAUCCAAGCAAUUAAAUCAACAACAACUCAAAUCAUGCGGUCAUCAAAACAAAUACCAAAUCAUGUGAAAAAUGAGAAUCAAGAGGUCUUUCAAGGGUUGUAAUGUGGCUUGGGUUACAAGAAAGGAUAUGAUUAAGAGAAUUCAACAAAGUUGCCUAUCCUAAGGGAGCAUUUCCAUAUAUUCAACUCUACACAAUUUCCAUUUCUUU
rnacentral:lncRNA from 1 species